UGUCAGCUGCUCCCAUGUUAUUCAUAACUUUCUCAGGAGCAUAAAAUUGUACCAAGACAUGGUAAAACCUGCUGUUCCACUGUACCGGCAUAGGCACAAUGCUGCCAUUGAUACUGUCCUUAUUUAUGGUGUACAGGAUGUUUUAAGGACAAGUAUAGGUGUAUAGUAUCUCUAGCUCUGUUUCCCUCUCUUUUUACAAAAUGUCACUAAUCAGUGGGA